rnacentral:lncRNA from 1 species
AAACCAGGCAAGAUUCAACAGCAGGAUUCCCUGCAGCCGGAGAUCUGCAAGACACACAGUGCUCUUUGUAUCUUAUUGUCAACUACUCUUGGCCUUCCUCUGUUACUAAGAGCUGGCUUGAUACAUCGCAGGUCCUGUGGAUAUCGUCCUUGAUUUUCUGUAGAACAUCACAGCAGCUGGCCAGACUGCAGCCCCCACUCUUCCUCUGCCUUUGAUCUGUUCUUACAAGCGGUUUGGUAAUAAACCGGCACCUUUCUUCAGGAAGAGAAAUCUUGCAAAAGAUCAAAGUCCACUGCACAGCUUCCAUUGGAAAGAGAACUAAGUAGGAAACGAAGAAAACAAGGAACCAUCUUGAACUUCUGGGACACCUAUGUGCAUUCACUUAUGCAUAAUACGUAUGGAGACUUCUUUUAGCUUGUGAAAGUGACAUUGGAAAAUGGUCUUCCUUUCACAUUUGCAACACCGCCAUUUGUAUUGCAAGUCAGUUUGCUCUUUUUCCCGGCAGGAUCAAUGUCUAUAGAAUUGCACCAGCCUCUCCAUCC